GGAGACGUGGGAGAGUGGUUUAAUCCAGCGGUCUUGAAAACCGCCGACGGGCAACCGUCCGUGAGUUCGAAUCUCACCGUCUCCG
rnacentral:tRNA from 1 species